GACGAACGCUGGCGGCGUGCCUAAUACAUGCAAGUCGAACGCACUUUCGUUAGAUUGAAGAAGCUUGCUUCUGAUUGAUAACAUUUGAGUGAGUGGCGGACGGGUGAGUAACACGUGGGUAACCUGCCCUAAAGUGGGGGAUAACAUUUGGAAACAGAUGCUAAUACCGCAUAAAACCUAGCACCGCAUGGUGCAAAGGUUUGAAAGAUGGUUUCGGCUAUCACUUUAGGAUGGACCCGCGGUGCAUUAGUUAGUUGGUGAGGUAAAGGCUCACCAAGACCGUGAUGCAUAGCCGACCUGAGAGGGUAAUCGGGCCACACUGGGACUGAGACACGGCCCAGACUCCUACGGGAGGCAGCAGUAGGGAAUCUUCCACAAUGGACGAAAGUCUGAUGGA
rnacentral:rRNA from 1 species